AAUAGGAGUGCUCUGCCUGAAACGAAGCGUUUGCGGGCUUAGCUGCCUCUUACCGGCCUCCUCUUCCUCCAGGCAGAGUGGAACAGACUCCAGCUCUCCAAUUCUGGGAACUAUACAAAGAGGCUUCCGGAUUCCACUUUCAUAUUUCCCGCCACCCUGACUCCGCCCCCCCAGUUAGGAACCGCCCAAUGGCAGAAGCAAGCGGCGAUUCACCACGCCCCCCUCUUGGCUUUCUGGGGGCGGGAUCAGUCGGGGCGGAGCCCGGCCUGGGGAAAAAGAGCCCGUUCUCGUUUGCGCCUGCGCCGCUUCUAAAGAGGCAGGGGUCCCCAAACUUGGCAACUUUAAGACUUGUGGACUUCAACUCCCAGAAUUCUGGGAGUUGAAGUCCACAAGUCUUAAAGUUGCCAAGUUUGGAGACCUCUGCAAAGAGUGAUCGCUUGCAAAAGAGGGAUCGGUAGUUGCGUGCCAGCGGCGGAUCCCGCGCAGGGGACGGGCUGCCUUGCCCGUGUUGCUCUGCUCCGUUGCAGCUGUCGCGGCAUCCGAUGCAAAAAAAAAAAACCCGCAGAGCUGACCGCCCUGCAUGAAAUCAGACCAACGGGAAGCAUUUACACGUGUCAGUCCGGGUCAUCCGUCUGGGAAUGCGCUAACUCGCCGCUUUCUUCAAAACGGGGAACGAGCUGCAGGGCCGUUAUCCCCGCCAGCCCCCUUUGGUUUUCCAGCGAUCUCCCGGUUGACUAACCCGUCCCUGUUCCUCACACGGGGGUGACUGCGUUCACACGAGAUGCUGAGCUGCAAAUGUAGCGGCUGCCCAAGAGGAAGGGUGCCAGAUGUGUGUGCAGGAGAAGGAAGUGAACAUAGUCAGGAUGCAUGCAAGAAAGGUGCCUGUUUUUGUUCUCCUGCCUCGUUGUGUCUGAGUGUCAAUUCGUGUCCUGGGAAGCCCCCCCAAAAUGGGUCCAUGCUAGGUCUGCAUGGAGUGGCCCAAAGCAUUCAGAGCUACUGCCUCACCCUUUGGUGGAACUUCUUCUGUAUUUUUCCUCUUUGCCUCCCCACCCAGAUUUGAGAACAAUUAAUCAAAGGAACAUCUGAUCUCCCAGAGUUGUUGCUCCCCAUCACUGGAGGCUUUUAAGAAAAGAUUAGACAACCAUUUCUUUUCGCUUUUGGAAGGAAUUAUUUUGGAGGAUUAUUCUACAGACUGGCAGACUUUCAUCAUCUUUACAUAAUUUAUU
rnacentral:lncRNA from 1 species